UACGAAGGGUGCAAGCGUUGUUCGGAAUUAUUGGGCGUAAAGGGUUCGUAGGCUGGAAGCCAAGUCAAUUGUGAAAUCCCCGAGCUUAACUCGGGACGUGCAGUUGAAACUGGUUUUCUUGAAUAUCGGAGAGGGUAGUGGAAUUGCUGGUGUAGGAGUGACAUCCGUAGAGAUCAGCAGGAACACCAGAGGCGAAGGCGACUGCCUGGCCGAUUAUUGACGCUGAGGAACGAAAGCGUGGGGAGCAAACAGG
rnacentral:rRNA from 2 species